ACGGAAGGCAGCAGUGGGGAAUAUUGCACAAUGGGGGAAACCCUGAUGCAGCGACGCCGCGUGAAGGAAGAAGUAUCUCGGUAUGUAAACUUCUAUCAGCAGGGAAGAAAAUGACGGUACCUGACUAAGAAGCCCCGGCUAACUACGUGCCAGCAGCCGCGGUAAUACGUAGGGGGCAAGCGUUAUCCGGAUUUACUGGGUGUAAAGGGAGCGUAGACGGAAUUGCAAGUCUGAUGUGAAAGGCAUGGGCUCAACCCGUGGACUGCAUUGGAAACUGUGAUUCUUGAGGGCCGGAGGGGUAAGCGGAAUUCCUGGUGUAGCGGUGAAAUGCGUAGAUAUCAGGAGGAACACCGGUGGCGAAGGCGGCUUACUGGACGGCAACUGACGUUGAGGCUCGAAGGCGUGGGGAGCAAACAGGAUUAGAUACCCUGGUA
rnacentral:rRNA from 1 species